rnacentral:rRNA from 1 species
GAUGAACGCUAGCGGCAGGCUUAACACAUGCAAGUCGAGGGGCAGCGCGAUGUAGCAAUACAUUGGCGGCGACCGGCGCACGGGUGCGUAACACGUAUGGAACUUACCCUUUACUGGGAGAUAGCCCGGAGAAAUCCGGAUUAAUAUCCCAUAAUAUACGAAGUGGCAUCACUUUGUUUUGAAAGCUCCGGCGGUAAAGGAUGGCCAUGCGCACGAUUAGCUAGUAGGUGAGGUAACGGCUCACCUAGGCUACGAUCGUUAGGGGGCCUGAGAGGGUUAUCCCCCACACUGGUACUGAGACACGGACCAGACUCCUACGGGAGGCAGCAGUGAGGAAUAUUGCGCAAUGGAGGCAACUCUGACGCAGCCAUGCCGCGUGCAGGAAGAAGGCGCUACGCGUCGUAAACUGCUUUUACCAGGGAGAAACCCCCAGACGUGUCUGGGGUUGACGGUACCUGAGGAAUAAGCACCGGCUAACUUCGUGCCAGCAGCCG